UACGGAGGGGGCUAGCGUUGUUCGGAAUUACUGGGCGUAAAGCGCGCGUAGGCGGCUUUGCAAGUCAGAGGUGAAAGCCUGGAGCUCAACUCCAGAACUGCCUUUGAAACUGCAUCGCUAGAAUCAUGGAGAGGUUAGUGGAAUUCCGAGUGUAGAGGUGAAAUUCGUAGAUAUUCGGAAGAGCACCAGUGGCGAAGGCGACUAACUGGACAUGUAUUGACGCUGAGGUGCGAAAGCGUGGGGAGCAAACAGG
rnacentral:rRNA from 1 species